UUACAGGUGUGAGCCACCUUGCCCAGUGUGCAAAGUACAUUUUUUAAAAAUAAGAAAACACCUUCCGUUGGUCCAGGAAUAUGUAUUGAGAUCCACUAGUGCCAGGCACUGGGCAAGGCUCUGGGGACGGGGUGAAGUUCCUGCUUUCCUGGGUCUGAAGCUCUAGCGGGGAACACAGGCGAUAAGCCCAGAAACAGAUGAAAAAAUACGGCGCAUUCCAGCGACGGUCAGGGCAGAAAGAGAUAAGAACUAAGAACGUCAAUGUUUGUUCUCGGGUUCAAAGAAGUCAGCGUCUUUGGCGGGAGCUGGGCCACCAUCGCCCGGACCACGCUGGGGUGCUAAGUGCUCACAUCCUCCCCAGCACUGUCCUCAACAGCCAAGAGGCAGGCACAGGGGAAAACCCACCAGCAACACCAGCACCACAGCGUCCACACCCGCCGAGGAUGCUGCACAAAAGGCCCAUGGACCAGGGUGCCUGGGGGCAGGGCAUGCUGGGCACCGUCCAUCUUCUGGCAGCUUCUGGUUAACCCGAAAAUCCUGUUUGGUUUUCCUGUGUCUUUUGAGAAUGUCACUCAAACCCCUGAAUCCUCUCUGUGAUCUAAGUGUCAUGAGGCCUGCAAAACCUCGCUUCCUGCAGCAGACUUCUCCGCUUCCUGGCCCCCAUGAAGACUGUUAUCCACAAGUAGCCAGAGGGAUUCUGUAAAAAUCAAAGUCAGGGCAGGGCCCUCCUCUGCUCAAAACCCUCCCAUGGCUCCCUACUUCACUCAGGGAGGAAGCCACGCCCAUAUUGUAGCCUCUUCCACCUCUCACACUCAUUGCACAGGCGGCCACCAAGCCCCUUUCUACCCCAGUGCCUUUGCACUUGCCACCCCCUUACUUCAUUGCAAUCCCUUCUUAGCAGAGAGGCUGACCCUGAAUUCCCUCCUGAAAUAGUGACCCUUCUCAAAUAAGUCUCCCCUCGCCUUGCCUUAUUUGUCUUCAUAUCUGUUCGUCACUACCUGACAUGUUAGAUAUUUAUUAUUUUCUCUCUUGCCGUUGGGCCUAAGUUCCCAGGGCCUCUCAUGUUUCUCCAGCGCCCAGAGGCUGACUGGCUUAUGGAGUGAGCGCAAUCAUUUCCUUUUGUGUGUGAAUAAAUGAAAGAAUCUUGGA